UGGGUAACAAUUGUAUCGAAAAGAGAAAAUCGAGUGCACCUUUUUAUGUUAGUGCGUGUUUGAGUGGAUAAUUUUGUCUUGAAAACGUACGAAGCAAGAAUAUUUGAUACAUCAUCUCGCUUCAGAUUCUAUCAUUUUUAUAUAUCAAACCUACAGGUUGACUUUAUAACAUAAAAAAAUCACAAUACUAAAAGAUGAAAUAUAUGGGUCAAGUG
rnacentral:lncRNA from 1 species